rnacentral:rRNA from 1 species
UCCUUUGGACAAUGGUAGGAGAGCGUUCUAAGGGCGUUGAAGCAUGAUCGUAAGGACAUGUGGAGCGCUUAGAAGUGAGAAUGCCGGUGUGAGUAGCGAAAGACGGGUGAGAAUCCCGUCCACCGAUUGACUAAGGUUUCCAGAGGAAGGCUCGUCCGCUCUGGGUUAGUCGGGUCCUAAGCUGAGGCCGACAGGCGUAGGCGAUGGAUAACAGGUUGAUAUUCCUGUACCACCUAUAAUCGUUUUAAUCGAUGGGGGGACGCAGUAGGAUAGGCGAAGCGUGCGAUUGGAUUGCACGUCUAAGCAGUAAGGCUGAGUAUUAGG